rnacentral:rRNA from 1 species
UAGGGAAACCGAGUCUUAACCGGGCGUUAAGUUGCAGGGUAUAGACCCGAAACCCGGUGAUCUAGCCAUGGGCAGGUUGAAGGUUGGGUAACACUAACUGGAGGACCGAACCGACUAAUGUUGAAAAAUUAGCGGAUGACCUGUGGCUGGGGGUGAAAGGCCAAUCAAACCGGGAGAUAGCUGGUUCUCCCCGAAAGCUAUUUAGGUAGCGCCUCGUGAAUUCAUCUCCGGGGGUAGAGCACUGUUUCGGCUAGGGGGCCAUCCCGGCUUACCAACCCGAUGCAAACUGCGAAUACCGGAGAAUGUUAUCACGGGAGACACACGGCGGGUGCUAACGUCCGUCGUGAAGAGGGAAACAACCCAGACCGCCAGCUAAGGUCCCAAAGUCAUGGUUAAGUGGGAAACGAUGUGGGAAGGCCCAGACAGCCAGGAUGUUGGCUUAGAAGCAGCCAUCAUUUAAAGAAAGCGUAAUAGCUCACUGGUCGAGUCGGCCUGCGCGGAAGAUGUAACGGGGCUAAACCAUGCACCGAAGCUGCGGCAGCGAACGUAUCACUUAAAGCGAUUCAGCGGGUUACGAUUGACGGAGCGAAGCGACGUCAAAGCGUAUACAAAGUCGAGUCGGUUUAAGGAUACGUUCGUUGGGUAGGGGAGCGUUCUGUAAGCCUGUGAAGGUGGCCUGUGAGGGUUGCUGGAGGUAUCAGAAGUGCGAAUGCUGAC